GUGCCUUGGCAGUACAUAUAUCAAAUUGGAUACGAUACAGAGAGAGAAGAUUACUUUGCCAGCCCCUGCGAAAGGAUGACACGCAAAUUCGUAGAGCGUUUCCAUAUUUGG